CACGUGGGAACGUGCCUUUAGGUUCGGAAUAGCUCCUGGAAACGGGUGGUAAUGCCGAAUGUGCCCUUAGGGGGAAAGAUUUAUCGCCUUUAGAGCGGCCCGCGUCUGAUUAGCUAGUUGGUGAGGUAAUGGCUCACCAAGGCUACGAUCAGUAGCUGGUCUGAGAGGAUGACCAGCCACAUUGGGACUGAGACACGGCCCAAACUCCUACGGGAGGCAGCAGUGGGGAAUCUUGCGCAAUGGGCGAAAGCCUGACGCAGCCAUGCCGCGUGGAUGAUGAAGGUCUUAGGAUUGUAAAAUCCUUUCACCGGUGAAGAUAAUGACUGUAGCCGGAGAAGAAGCCCCGGCUAACUUCGUGCCAGCAGCCGCGGUAAUACGAAGGGGGCUAGCGUUGCUCGGAAUUACUGGGCGUAAAGGGAGCGUAGGCGGACAUUUAAGUCAGGGGUGAAAUCCCAGAGCUCAACUCUGGAACUGCCUUUGAUACUGGGUGUCUUGAGUGUGAUAGAGGUAUGUGGAACUCCGAGUGUAGAGGUGAAAUUCGUAGAUAUUCGGAAGAACACCAGUGGCGAAGGCGACAUACUGGAUCAUUACUGACGCUGAGGCUCGAAAGCGUGGGGAGCAAACAGGAUUAGAUACCCUGGUAGUCCACGCCGUAAACGAUGAUUGCUANUUGUCGGGUUGUUUACAACUCGGUGACGCAGCUAACGCA
rnacentral:rRNA from 1 species